rnacentral:lncRNA from 1 species
UGUCUUUUCUGAAUAUUUCUUUUGAUGAUAGGCUUCCCGGCGUUUUUUCAGUUUGUCCUGCCUUUCUUCCUCGGUCAUCCGUUCAUUCUGCUCUUUAUUUUUUCUUUUUUUUGUUCCUUUGACUCCUGCCUUUCUUCAUUUGUCAUCCGUGCAUACCGAUCUCUAUCUCUCUUUCUUUUUUGUUCUUUGGCUGCAUCCAUUUGCUCCAAAUAAAUUUCCUGUAUGAGAGUUUGUAUAAUGUAAGAAUUUCAAAUUAAUGAUAUAAUAGAUUUAAUCUGUACAAGGCAGUAUCAUAUUUUUAACAUAGC